rnacentral:tRNA from 1 species
UUGUUUUGGCAGAUUUAUGUAUUAGAUUUAGGAUCUAAAAAAAUAGAGGUUUCUAUAAACAAUAA